UUCUCUUGCCAAGGUUUAAGGCGAAUUUCCUCUGUCCAGAUGGCUUCCUCAGGCAGGCCAAUGCAAGAACCAAGACCUCGCCCUGCUGCCUUUUAAUGCUGCUCCUUGAUUGUUGCUAACGAUCCCCAGCUGUCCUGCAUUGCCGGCUCCUUAACCUCUCUCUGCUGGCCACAUCUGCAGGCAACUCCAAGAAGCAGGGAAAAGAUGCUUUGGCUGGCCCCAAAGCAACACAGAAUAUUGGAAAAGAAGUUGAGCUUCCUGGCUCAGCUGUUAAAAUCAGUAUGAGGACAAGAACUGUAUAAUAUCAAGAAGAUGCCAAGUUUUAUCUUCAGACCUAGAUGAGGUUCUGUUCCUGGGAUGUCCAUCAAGAUGUGCUGUGAGCCUACCCACAGUUCAACAGGACAUAUUUCAAAAGGUUUCUGGAGGUGGGUGGAGAAGUGACUAAUAGACCAGACUAAAAUGCACCCUGAUCUACAAUCAGUGAGGAGGAGCCAGAGCACCACAGGUGGGCAGCAUCAUAAGAGACUGAGAUGAGGAAGUGGCCUAACAGGAGGUGUUAGGCCAGAAGGUCUGGAAGACUCACUCAUUCCUCUUUUACAUCGCAGGCUCUACCCCUGCUCCUAGGCUGACAAGUAACCGUGCAUUCCUUCUAAGCUCCCCACAACAAAACCAUGGGGUCUUUUGCUAAAGAAAUCAAAUCAAGUCUCUGAAGAGAACCAGGAAGAUAAUGUGGCAGCUGCCUCAUUUGGAUACUGAAGAAAUGUCUGUGGAAAACGCAGCACCCUCUCACCACAACCAAUACCAAUUUUAUAAACUAAGCAAGUUCCUUAAUACACAGAACCAGCAAACAGCCAUUCUCUACUAACCUAUGUAGGUAAGAGAAAGAUCAAACUGACAUGGAAACUUGAUCCCAGGGGAAACAGAUUAUUGAAGCAACCAUUUAUGACUUUAAUGGUGUCUGUAACAAGUAGUUUCUGAUUUUAAUGUUUUGUUGAAACAAAAGCAUGCAAAGAGAAAAACUAUAAACACAUAGCUCGAUGUAACAGCACCAAGUACCACCUACAUCACCUGGAUUAAAAAGAAGACAUAGCUCACACCUCAAUUCUUACACGCAUUCUCACGACUGGCCAGGAAGAACACAACAAACCAGAAUCUUCUGCGGCAAAACUUUAUUGCUUACAUCUUCAGGAGCAAGAGUGCAAGCCUCAAACCCAAAAACGAAAGCGAAACCCCUUCCCUCUUAAGGAGAGUUAUCCUUCGCCUAGGACGUAUCACUCCCUGAUUGGCUGCAGACCAUGGCCGAGUUGUAGUCACGGGGAAGGCAGAGUACAUGGGGUGGAGAACUACCUUUGGCACAUGCGCAGAUUAUUUGUUUACCACUUAGAACACAGCUGUCAGCGCCAUCUUGUAACGGCGAAUGUGGGGGCGGCUUCCCACACUCAAUCCCUCUCAACACAUUUCCAGCCACUACUCCCUAUGUUCUACCCAUAGAAACCUGAUUCCAACACCACAGAUUUGUUCAUCCGGCCUUGACUUUUACAGGAACGGCAGCACGUGAUCAUUGUGCAUGUUUCUGGCUGCUUUCCACUCCACAAUAUUCUCUUCUGGUAUGUGUAACAAAGGCUCACUAAUUAUUGUCACAGCAUUGUAGGAAUCCUCUGCAGUUUAUUCAUUCACCAUUGCUGCUCAUUUGAUUGUUUUUACUUUUUGUCUUUUACAGGAAGUGCUACUAUAAGAAGUAAAGUUUAGCAACUGUUUAGACGCACAUACAACAAAUUUAUGUUCGAUUUAGAAAUAGAAAUUUUUAAGUCAUAUGAUAUGUUGAAUUCAAGUUUAGUAGACAGUAGUAAAUAAUACCCCAAAAUAGUUUUACUAAUGUAUAUGCACACCAGCAAAAUAUAGUGUUCUAGUUGCUCUUACGUCUUUCCUUACCUUUGGUGAAAAAUAUUUUCAUUAUUUCACCUGGCAUAGAGAUGCAUGCCUAUAAUCACAGCACUUGGGAGGCAGAAGC